AGCGAACGCUGGCGGCGUGCCUAACACAUGCAAGUCGAACGUGAAAAGGGAAACCUGAGUAAAGUGGCGUACGGGUGAGUAACGCGUAGGUAAUCUACCCCAGAAUCUGGAAUAACCUGCCGAAAGGCGGGCUAAUACUGGAUAGAGCGAGGGAACUCGUAAGAGAGUUUUUCGGGAAAGGGAGCCCGCAAGGGCCUUCGUUCUGGGAUGAGCCUGCGUCUCAUUAGCUAGUUGGUAAGGUAACGGCUUACCAAGGCGAUGAUGAGUAGCUGGUCUGAGAGGAUGAUCAGCCACACUGGAACUGAAACACGGUCCAGACUCCUACGGGAGGCAGCAGUGGGGAAUCUUGCGCAAGAGACGAAAGUCUGACGCAGCCACGCCGCGUGAGUGAAGAAGGCCUUCGGGUUGUAAAGCUCUGUCGGAUGGGACGAACAUCUUCAUAGUGAAUAGCUAUGAGGACUGACGGUACCAUCAAAGGAAGCACCGGCUAACUCCGUG
rnacentral:rRNA from 1 species